rnacentral:rRNA from 1 species
AGCGAACGCUGGCGGCAGGCCUAACACAUGCAAGUCGAACGAACCCUUCGGGGUUAGUGGCGGACGGGUGAGUAACACGUGGGAACGUGCCCUUUGGUUCGGAACAACUCAGGGAAACUUGAGCUAAAACCGAAUGUGCCCUUCGGGGGAAAGAUUUAUCGCCAUUGGAGCGGCCCGCGUCUGAUUAGCUUGUUGGUGAGGUAAAGGCUCACCAAGGCUACGAUCAGUAGCUGGUCUGAGAGGAUGAUCAGCCACAUUGGGACUGGGACACGGCCCAAACUCCUACGGGAGGCAGCAGUGGGGAUUCUUGCGCAAUGGGCGAAAGCCUGACGCAGCCAUGCCGCGUGAAUGAUGAAGGUCUUAGGAUUGUAAAAUUCUUUCACCGGGGACGAUAAUGACGGUACCCGGAGAAGAAGCCCCGGCUAACUUCGUGCCAGCCGCCGCCGUAAUAC